rnacentral:misc_RNA from 1 species
GCACAAGGCAGUGUGACACUGGUAAGACCUUAAGACGGACUAUGAUAUACUCAGUUCUGUUUGCUUUGUACUGGAAAUUUAUUUUUAGCUGUAUUUUGCAAGUUGCUUUCAGUUAUUUUCAAAUUCAUCCAAGCUUUAUGUUAAUGUGUUUUAGGCUUUGUUUGGUAAACUACUUUUGCCACCCUCUGUAUAACAAUUGCAACAAGCCUAAAAGUUAACCAAGCCAAAGCCUUAGUCAAUGAUCCAAUUGACAAUAAUUGUUGGGGAUGACAGAACUUCAAAAGUUGAUCUAUUUUAAAUUCAAGCUAUAAAAGCUAUGUAUUUACUUAUUUAUUGCAUUCAAGUCCUAAUACUUUUAAAAUCACUCAAUUUUAGUCCUAUCCAUUAAGUCAAUAAUAUAUAUUCUCUUAGUCAACUCCAAAGAUACACCCCCUCCCCCCAUUUCAAUCCUAAAACUUUUUAAAAUUUUUCUUUUCUUUCUUUUUUCCCACUCUUUUUCUGAACUAAUUUGGAAAAAAAAAAUCAAUAAUUCAUCAAAAUCAUAUAAAAUGAUAAGUACCAUCAAAU